rnacentral:rRNA from 1 species
GGGUCAGUAGGUUGGUCGUGCCACCGGUACGUACUGGUCUCACUGAUUCCUCCUCCCUGAAGAACCGUAAUGCCAUUAAUUUGGUGUUGCGGGGAAACAGGACUGUUACUUUGAAAAAAUUAGAGUGUUUAAAGCAAGCUAACGCUUGAAUACAUUAGCGUGGAAUAAUGAAAUAGGACGAUCGAUCCUAUUUUGUUGGUUUCUAGGAUUGACGUA